rnacentral:sRNA from 1 species
AGUGCAUCGUGAGUGUUGCUGGUGGGGCCACUCGGGCUGCCCUGACCGUGCACCAGGCUCGGAGGAACAACAUGGCUGACGUGUCAGCCAAGGACAGCAGCCAGGAGACGCUGGUGAACCUGGUGGGGCUCUUGGUCAGCCUCCUGAUGCUCCCUCUGGUGUCAGGUUGCCCUGGGUAAGCCGGAAGCAGGGUGAGCAGGAGAGCCCCAGCUGGGCCUCUGCCCACUUCAGCUACCUCACUGUCUCACCCCAGCUUCAGCCUUGGAUGUUUCUUCUUCCUCACUGCCCUCCACAUCUACGCCAACUACCGCGCGGUCCGAGCCCUGGUCAUGGAGACCUUGAACGAAGGCCGGCUCCGGCUGGUCCUGAAGCACUACCUUCAGAGGGGAGAGGUACUCAACCCAACUGCAGCCAAUCGCAUGGAGCCGCUGUGGACAGGUGACCCUGCCCCUGGUCUCGGGUCCUGUGUCUCAGCCUCUCCCACUGCCUAGGCGUCCUGACCCCAGCUUCCCACAGGUUUCUGGCCAGCUCCGUCUCUAUCCCUGGGGGUCCCUUUACACCGCUUGGUCUCCAGGUGAGUGGCCUAGCGUCUCCUGCUCAUCACCACUGCCACCCACACUCCCCGCACACACCUCUCACUCCGAUUACACACUGGCCUCCCUGGCAAGGCCCUACCUCUCUGUCCUGGGUUCUUCAUUGCUGCUGAACAGACAUGGGGUUGGUGUGGGUGUGUGAGGAAGGAAAGGGUGUAUAACAUGAAGCAGAUGUAAGAGAUGUGUUUGAUGGGUGAAGGAAGGAUGGGCAGAUGGGGAAGUUGGAUGACUGGAUACAGGAAGAAAGGAUGGAUUUGGUGUA